CAACUACUCCCUCUGUCCCAAAUUUCUUGUCUUAGAUUUGUCUAGAUACGGAUGUAUCUAAUACUAAAAUGUGACUUCAUACAUUCGUAUCUAGACAAAUCUAAGACAAGAAUUUUGGGACGGAGGGAGUACUUU
rfam:Triticum aestivum genome assembly, contig: Triticum_aestivum_CS42_TGACv1_scaffold_543024_6DS